UCUAAACCUGAACCACAGAGACAACAAGGUUGCAGUGAAGAAACUUUAUUGAAUUUUCUUUCUAUCACGGCAGAUGGGAAAACAUUCAUACAGCCUGGAAUAACUGCCAUGCAAAGCUUAUAAAUGAGAACAGUUUUCAGAUAGUUUGCCUAGGUUAUGCAGAACACUUCAUAUGUACAACUGAACAUGCAAGACUUUGCUGCUGCAGAUACAUGCAUUGUGCACAGAGAUGGCAAGGAAUGGGGCAAGGCACAAAGAAUAUGUUUUCCCCAAGAAAUUCACCAGGCACCUUUUCAGCAACAGGCACAUAGUUAGACAGAAACAUACAUGUCUGAGAUCUCCCAGCGUUGUGCUAGCCAGCCAUACUGACUGAAUCGUGAGGAGGCUUUCCAAUCAUAUUGGCCAGAGCAUCAGCUGAGCCAAGGUAGUUAGAGCUGUCUAAGGAGGCAAACCUGUGAGGGAACCAGCUCUCUGAGCAUGAGGAAAUGCAGUGACUAAGCUUCACUCCAGUGACAAAGCAUCAGUUCCCAUGUGAGUGUAGCAACAGGAUGAGGCAUCCAGUGGGGUCUACACUUCCAUCCCUUCUCAGGGUAAGUGAUUUAAAUAAACAGUUAAAAUAUAAUCAAUGAUGUAUACAUUAUCCACCCACCUUCUCCUAGUAAAUAAUUUCAUUUUCCAGGUGAGCAAACCCUAUCUAUCUA